rnacentral:rRNA from 1 species
CAGCCGCCGCGGGAAUACGUAGGUGGCAAGCGCUGUCCGGAAUUAUUGGGCGUAAAGGGCUCGCAGGCGGUUUCUUAAGUCUGAUGUGAAAGCCCCCGGCUCAACCGGGGAGGGUCAUUGGAAACUGGGAAACUUGAGUGCAGAAGAGGAGAGUGGAAUUCCACGUGUAGCGGUGAAAUGCGUAGAGAUGUGGAGGAACACCAGUGGCGAAGGCGACUCUCUGGUCUGUAACUGACGCUGAGGAGCGAAAGCGUGGGGAGCGAACAGGAUUAGAUACCCCCGUAGUCCCUGUCUCUUAUAA